rnacentral:rRNA from 1 species
GUGGAACACCGCAAGGUGAACCGCGUACUUUUUGUAGAACGGUCCGGCGAGUUACAUGUACAGGCAAGGUUAAGUAUUAAAGAUACGGAGCCGAAGGGAAACCAAGUCUUAAUAGGGCUAAUAAAGUCAGUAUGUGUAGACCCGAAACCGGGUGAUCUAUCCAUGUCCAGGUUGAAGUUUGCGUAAAAGUGAAUGGAGGACCGAACGCACAUCCGUUGAAAAGGGUGGCGAUGAGGUGUGGAUAGGGGAGAAAUUCCAAUCGAACCCGGAGAUAGCUGGUUCUCCUCGAAAUAGUUUUAGGACUAGCCUCGUUAACAGUCUACCGGAGGUAGAGCACUGAAUUUUUGCGGGGGCGUCAAAGCCUACCAAGAGAUAUCAAACUCCGAAUGCCGGCUAGAUGAUAAACGGGAGUCAGACUACACGAGAUAAGUUGGGUAGUCAAAAGGGAAAGAGCCCAGACCUACGGCUAAGGUCCCAAAGUGUGUGUUAAGUGGAAAAGGAUGUGGGAUUUCAAAGACAGCUAGGAUGUUGGCUUAGAAGCAGCCAUACAUUAAAAGAGUGCGUAACAGCUCACUAGUCGAGAGGUCCUGCGCCGAAAAUGUCCGGGGCUAAACACAACACCGAAGCCUGGGAAUGUAUUUUAUACAUUGGUAGAGGAGCAUUCUUAUAAGCGUAGAAGCCAUACCGGAAGGAGUGGUGGAGUAAUAAGAAGAGAGAAUGCCGGAAUGAGUAGCGAGAAAGAGGUGAGAAUCCUCUUGGCCGAAUAUCUAAGGUUUCCUGAGUAAAGCUGAUCUACUCAGGGUAAGUCGGGGCCUAAGGCAAGGUCGAAAGACGUAGUUGAUGGAUAACAGGUACAGAUUCCUGUACUACAUAUAAUCAGAACUGUGGGGACACGGAGACUGAAAACCGAACCCGGGAGGACAAAAACCGGGGCAAGCGAAGUACCUGUAUGGGAGGCAAAACCACCAUGCAAAGGGAAAACGUGAUGCGUACCGAAAGUUAGUAGGGAAGUCGGUUAGGGAGCCGUCAAGAAAAGCCGCUAUUGCAUUAUAUGUACCCGUACCGCAAACCGACACAGGUAGAUGAGGAGAGAAUCCUAAGGCCGGCGGGAGAAGCAUUGUUAAGGAACUCGGCAAAAUGACCCCGUAACUUCGGGAGAAGGGGUGCCACUUUAAAAGAGUGGUCGCAGAAAAAAGGCUCAAGCAACUGUUUAGCAAAAACACAGGUCUAUGCGAAACCGUAAGGUGAAGUAUAUGGGCUGACGCCUGCCCGGUGCCGGAAGGUUAAGAGGAGAAGUCAGGAAACGAAGCUUUGAAUUGAAGCCCCGGUAAACGGCGGCCGUAACUAUAACGGUCCUAAGGUAGCGAAAUUCCUUGUCGGGUAAGUUCCGACCCGCACGAAAGGCGUAAUGAUUUGAGCGCUGUCUCAACAAUGCACCCGGUGAAAUUGAAGUACCAGUGAAGAUGCUGGUUACCCGCGCCAGGACGGAAAGACCCCAUGGAGCUUUACUCCAGUUUGGUACUGGGAUUCGGUAAUACUCGUACAGGAUAGGUGGGAGACUAAGAAGCAUGAACGCCAGUUUAUGCAGAGUCGCCGUUGGGAUACCACCCCUGUAUUGCUGGAUUUCUAACCUGCAGCCGUGAUCCGGUUGGGGGACAAUGCCAGACGGGGAGUUUGACUGGGGCGGUCGCCUCCGAAAGAGUAUCGGAGGCGCUCGAAGGUUCCCUCAGAAUGGUCGGAAACCAUUCAAAGAGUGCAAAGGCAGAAGGGAGCUUGACUGUGACACCGACGGGUGGAGCAGGUACGAAAGUAGGACUUAGUGAUCCGGUGGUAUAAAGUGGGAUUGCCAUCGCUCAACGGAUAAAAGCUACCCUGGGGAUAACAGGCUUAUCACUCCCAAGAGUUCACAUCGACGGAGUGGUUUGGCACCUCGAUGUCGGCUCAUCGCAUCCUGGGGCUGUAGCAGGUCCCAAGGGUUGGGCUGUUCGCCCAUUAAAGCGGUACGCGAGCUGGGUU